rnacentral:rRNA from 1 species
UCCCAGACUCCUACGGGAGGCAGCAGUGGGGAAUAUUGCACAAUGGGGGAAACCCUGAUGCAGCGACGCCGCGUGAGUGAAGAAGUAUUUCGGUAUGUAAAGCUCUAUCAGCAGGAACGAGACAAGACGGUACCUGACUAAGAAGCCCCGGCUAACUACGUGCCAGCAGCCGCGGUAAUACGUAGGGGGCAAGCGUUAUCCGGAAUCACUGGGUGUAAAGGGAGCGUAGACGGCUGUGCAAGCCUGAAGUGAAGGGCGGGGGCCCAACCCCUGGACUGCUUUGGGAACUGUACGGCUGGAGUGCAGGAGAGGUAAGUGGAAUUCCUAGUGUAGCGGUGAAAUGCGUAGAUAUUAGGAGGAACACCAGUGGCGAAGGCGGCUUACUGGACUGUAACUGACGUUGAGGCUCGAAAGCGUGGGGAGCAAACAGGAUUAGAUACCCGGGUAA